rnacentral:rRNA from 1 species
GACGAACGCUGGCGGCGUGCUUAACACAUGCAAGUCGAACGGAAAGGCCCUGCUUUUGUGGGGUGCUCGAGUGGCGAACGGGUGAGUAACACGUGAGUAACCUUCCCUUGACUUUUGGAUAACUUCAGGAAACUGGGGCUAAUACCGGAUAGGAGCUCCUGCUUCAUGGUGGGGGUUUGAAAGUUUCGGCGGUUGGGGAUGGACUCGCGGCUUAUCAGCUUGUUGGUGGGGUAGUGGCUUACCAAGGCUUUGACGGGUAGCCGGCCUGAGAGGGUGACCGGCCACAUUGGGACUGAGAUACGGCCCAGACUCCUACGGGAGGCAGCAGUGGGGAAUAUUGCACAAUGGGCGGAAGCCUGAUGCAGCAACGCCGCGUGCGGGAUGACGGCCUUCGGGUUGUAAACCGCUUUCGCCUGUGACGAAGCGUGAGUGACGGUAAUGGGUAAAGAAGCACCGGCUAACUACGUG